GUCGUGAGAUGUUGGGUUAAGUCCCGCAACGAGCGCAACCCUCGCCCUUAGUUGCCAUCAUUUAGUUGGGCACUCUAGGGGGACUGCCGGUGAUAAGCCGGAGGAAGGUGGGGAUGACGUCAAGUCCUCAUGGCCCUUACGGGCUGGGCUACACACGUGCUACAAUGGCGGUGACAGUGGGACGCAAUGGAGUAAUCCUGCGCAAAUCUCAAAAAGCCGUCUCAGUUCGGAUUGUGCUCUGCAACUCGAGCACAUGAAGUUGGAAUCGCUAGUAAUCGCAGAUCAGCACGCUGCGGUGAAUACGUUCCCGGGCCUUGUACACACCGCCCGUCACACCAUGGGAGUUGGCUUUACCUGAAGACGGUGCGCUAACCGCAAGGAGGCAGCCGGCCACGGUAGGGUCAGCGACUGGGGUGAAGUCGUAACAAGGUAGCCGUAGGGGAACCUGCGGCUGGAUCACCUCCUUUCUAAGGACGAUCCUUCAGGGGCGCCUCAAGCGUCUCUAUCGGAUCUCUUGGAAACAUCAGGGGCUCAAAGUCAAAUGAGCCCCAUAGGCGGGACACCGCCGUCUUCAUUUCUUUUUCUUCCGCGGACGAGCCCAAUUGGGGAUCGCAAGUCGUUGUGCCAGUGAUUCGGUGCAUCGGCGGGCGAUCGCUGAACUUCCUGGCCCGGGCUUGUAGCUCAGUUGGUUAGAGCGCGCGCUUGAUAAGCGUGAGGUCGGAAGUUCAAGUCUUCCCAGGCCCACCAUUUCCAGGCGUCGGUAAUCAGAAGUCAGCAGUCAGAUGGGACUCAUUUCUGAUGGCUGAUUUCUGCUUGCUGAUCCUGGAGGGCCAUAGCUCAGUGGGAGAGCGCUGCUUUGCAAGCAGGAGGUCGUCGGUUCGAUCCCGUCUGGCUCCACCAGUCGAGAUCGCGCGCGAUCAUUUCUGAUAGCGAAUCGAAGCUCGUCGUUGAGCUCUUCGAAUCAGCGCUCGCGAGAUCAACGCUCGUCCGUCGAACACAAUUUUCGCGUCUGUGCGAGAGCCGUAGGGCUACGUGCGGCCGCGCGAUAAGUGACUGAUAUCUGACAUCGUGAAGAGGUAGGAUCGCUCCGAGAGUCGAUCGUGACGCAAGUCGCGAUCGAUGCGCAAUCUCCGAGCAUUGCAACGCGACCCGUCGUCGUGCCGAAAGGCAUGUGCGAGGCCGUCGUGGACCAAUGUUUAUGUCGGCUGCUUGACCGCACGCCGUCGGAACGAUCCGAAGACAAGCUGGUCUUUCUAAUCAAUGACCAACCGAUCGAGCUGUUCCUAACGAACAGGUGUUUCCAAAGAACACUUGUUCUCAAAGAACGAUCGAGCGGUCCGCUGCCGAGCGGAUGGGCAUUGAUGAUGAGAGCGAUCAAGUGCCUUAAGGGCGUUCGGUGGAUGCCUUGGCGCUGAGAGGCUAUGAAGGACGUGCUACGCUGCGAAAAGCCGUGGGGAGCUGCGAAGAAGCUUUGAUCCGCGGAUGU
rnacentral:sRNA from 1 species